GCAAAGCUUUAGUUCACAGUCAUGUACAUUACACCAUCACAUGUAUAUUACACCAUAAAGGCAAAUCGACCAUAAAUUGUUUACAUCAAGAAGCCAUAAACUGUUUACAUAUGGAAAAAUUGUUUACAUCAAGCAACCAUAAAAAGUUUUAGCAUCAGAACAGGAUUAGCUUUCAGCUCAAUUUUGGCUUUCAGCUCCAUGCAGGUGCCAAUUUCAAGCAUCUUCAACAUCAGAAAAGGAUUAGCUUUUAUUACUUCAGUUGGUGUACUGCAACAAACCAAACAAGGAAAUUGUCACUAUAAAGGAAAGCAAAUGAAUAAAAGCUAAAGUAACUGUUUUUUUUUCAACACAGAAGAAGAAUGCAAAUUACAAAGCAAAAGAUUAAGUUUCAUAGACAGUCAUGUGCAAAUUUCUACAUUCUUCCAUUCUAGAGAAAAUACAUAACACACAGAGUUGGGAAAAAUUUCCUGCAUCCUUCCACUAAAUAUAAAUAUCUACUAAAAGUAAAGCCACCAAUAUUGAAUUUGAAUACUGAAUAUGAGCUCUAUAUAUACUCUGCCUCAACCUCAUUAAUAUAUGAUAAACCAAUUCACUCAUACAACUCUUUUUUAAGAAAAAAAAUUAAACAGAAAGAUGAGAUUUUAGACAGUAACCAUAUUCAUACUAGCCUCAUCCCCAUCAGUUUCUACAUAACAAUGUGGGAAACAUGCUGGAAUGGCUUUGUGCCCAAAGAAGCUCACAGAACAUAUUUUUAUGAGCUCCCAAGUUCAUAGUAAGCAGAUUUUAAAAUGAACAAGCUUCAUCAGCAAUGUCAAAUCUAUGGCAAUGGAUGUAUAACUAUUUUUACCUUGUCAAAUCUAUGGCAAUUGAUGUAUACUUACAGUUGAGAAUACCAAGUUUAAUAGAAAGGUGGUAAUGGAUGUAUAACUAUUUUUCACUUAUAUAUAACAAAGCAAAAUAAAAAACAGUAAAAGAGGCACAACUACCUGACUUGUAACUGAUACCAUAAGUCACUCCCAUGAUUAGUGCACUUCUGAAGGACACUCUGUAGGGAAAAAAAUUCCAAGUUAAUACAAAGAUAUAGAUAUACAAAUGUUGUUAUAGCAAUUUCAGUUCCACCUGUGGGUGAAUCACAUUCAUCAUCUACACUUGGAUCCUGAGUAGCAUCAACAUUUGAACAAACUUAAACCUAUGAAAUCAACAAUUAAAAGAAUUAUUGAGAUAAUAGCUAUAUUGAGAAAUAAGCUUAAAACCAAAACUCAUGCUCCAGUUUGAAAUCACCUUCACGCAACAGAGUAUGUUGUCUAAAUAACAGGUUUAUAUGUAUUCAGAUUUUACUGACAACUUAGUUCUGUACAAUAAUUCAAGAUACCAGCACAGUUGAAAAUAGUCACUCGAGUCGAGUCAGUUUUAAAUCAUAAUUAGAAGCCAACCAUGUACACUAUAACUCCUUUCAAUAACAGCAACAACAACUAAAGAGAUGAAAAAAAUGAUUUCCCAAAAUCCUACCAUCAAAAGUGUUGUUCUGCUAAAAAAAAUUAAGAGAUACUUACCAAUUUCCACUCAUCAUCAAUCACAGGAACAAAAAAUAACAACAAAAUAAGAAACAAAAAAGAACAAAAAAAUAAGAAACCAUCCCUUUUAGAAGUUUAGAAACAGAGAUGUAACAAAACCCCUUCCUAAACUCCAAACAAAGAUGAAAUAUAUAAUUUUCAAAUCAGAAAAGGAAAAGAAGUCAUCCAAAUCAAAGCCCUUACCGAAUUGAAGUGUGGAACCAGCAAAAUUGAAGUGAGGGAUUGAGGGGGAUCGAACUGCUUGCGACCUAUUCUAGGGCACGACGAGCUUUGUAGGGCUUCAAUUAUAGGGCUUUUCCUUUCUGAAGCUUGGGAUUAUCGAAGGAACUCUAGGUAACUCUGAGUUGUGAAACUGAAACUAAUCGAAGGAACCAAUCAACUGAGUUUCUCUCUUGCGGCAAUCGCAUUUCUAGAGGGAAGGGCUUCACUUUCUCUCUCUUCAAUGUUACAGCAAUAGAUUUUAAGGGAAUCAAUUUUGGCAGUGAGGAGUUUUCUAUUGAGAUCUCAGUCUUUGU
rnacentral:lncRNA from 1 species